AUAUAUAUGUGGUUUUACCCCAGAGAGCUAAUGUUUGUAGCUUUAACAAUUCUUCCAGGUUACUCCCCUAUAUAUCCAUUAAUCUUCUAUUUAAUGUGCUCUUACCUGUUCCUACUGCUUCCCCUAAAAGCAUUUUUACUGGUUCUCCCCUUUCCCCAAAGAAACAUUAUUAUUUUGAGAGCUGGAGAACAGCUUUGCAUUAGCUAGGACAUAG